rnacentral:rRNA from 1 species
CCUACGGGUGGCAGCAGUGAGGAAUAUUGGUCAAUGGACGAGAGUCUGAACCAGCCAAGUAGCGUGAAGGAUGACUGCCCUAUGGGUUGUAAACUUCUUUUAUAAAGGAAUAAAACGAGGCACGUGUGCCUUUUUGCAUGUACUUUAUGAAUAAAGAUCGGCUAACUCCGUGCCAGCAGCCGCGGUAAUACGGAGGAUCCGAGCUUUAUCCGGAUUUAUUGGCUUUAAAGUGAGCGUAGAUGGGUUGUUAAGUAAGUUGUGAAAGUUUGCGGCUCAACCGUAAAAUUGCAAUUGAUACUGGCAGUCUGGAGUACAGUUGAGGUAGGCGGAAUUCGUGGUGUAGCGGUGAAAUGCUUAGAUAUCACGAAGAACCCCGAUUGCGAAGGCAGCUUACUAACCUGUGACUGACAUUGAUGCUCGAAAGUGUGGGGAUCAAACAGGAUUAGAUACCCCAGUAGUC